GGGGUUAAACAUAGUAGUGCGACAUUGACAAUGUCUGACAGAAAUAGAAAUAAUUCCAAUGUAAAUACAAAAAAACAAGAAAAGAUAAAGAUAAAUCGAAAAGGAAACUAAACGUAGAGAAGAAAAUGAAGUAAUCUUAAAUCGUGAUAGUUUCCAAUUCCUUUGGUGUACUUUCACUUCUUUCUCUUUUUGGUUCCUGCAAAACUUUUCUCUUUGUUGUCUUUGGUGUACAC